rnacentral:rRNA from 1 species
GCGGCCAUAGGACCCUGAAAGCACUGCAUCCCGUCCGAUCUGCAAAGUUAAGCAGGGUACCGCCUAGCUAGUACUGCGGUGGGGGACCACGCGGAAUCCUAGGUGCUGCAGUUU